rnacentral:rRNA from 1 species
UACAGAGGGUGCAAACGUUGUUCGGAAUUAUUGGGCGUAAAGCGCGUGUAGGCGGUUUGGAAAGUCGGAUGUGAAAGCCCCGGGCUCAACCCGGGAAGUGCACUCGAUACUCCCAAGCUAGAGUAUCGGAGAGGUUGGUGGAAUUCUCGGUGUAGAGGUGAAAUUCGUAGAUAUCGAGAGGAACACCGGUGGCGAAGGCGGCCAACUGGACGAAUACUGACGCUGAGGAGCGAAAGCGUGGGGAGCGAACAGG